rnacentral:rRNA from 1 species
UGGGGAAUAUUGGACAAUGGGCGAAAGCCUGAUCCAGCCAUGCCGCGUGGGUGAAGAAGGCCUUCGGGUUGUAAAGCCCUUUUGUUGGGGAAGAAAUCCUGUUGGCUAAUACCCGGCAGGGAUGACGGUACCCAAAGAAUAAGCACCGGCUAACUUCGUGCCAGCAGCCGCGGUAAUACGAAGGGUGCAAGCGUUACUCGGAAUUACUGGGCGUAAAGCGUGCGUAGGUGGUGGUUUAAGUCUGUUGUGAAAGCCCUGGGCUCAACCUGGGAAUUGCAGUGGAUACUGGAUCACUAGAGUGUGGUAGAGGGUGGCGGAAUUCCCGGUGUAGCGGUGGAAUGCGUAGAGAUCGGGAGGAACACCAGUGGCGAAGGCGGCUCCCUGGCCUGUAACUGACGCUGAGGCGCGAAAGCGUGGGGAGCGAACAGGAUUAGAUACCC